UGGCACUGGGGAAGGAUCUUUGGUUGGGGGAGUCCUCCUUUGUGGAGUUUUCCCUGUAAACCUAAAUCUUCGGAAAUGGAUUAAAGAGCAUGCCUUUGGAAUAUGCAGAGAGCUACAGAGCAUUUUUUUCAGUGUUCAAGCUUGAAGCAAAGCAGAAUGUGUUGGAUGCAGAAGCAGAGGCAUCUGUAGAACAUCCAGGAAAUAUGUUAAUAGAGAAUUAACUUAUGCAUUUCUGACCAUCUCCAAGAUGCUGUAAUCCUUGAGUCCCUCUAGCUACUUACAAAUUGUAUUUUGGAAUGGAGCCUGAAAACUGAGGGGGUCUUCCACAUUCAGAAACAAAGCAAUGGUUGAAGAAAUGGAACUGACAGCAACUAAGAAGCUCAAAUUUCCACAUCUUCCUUCCUUGACAUGCCUUGAGGGUGCUAAGAUACUUCAAGAGAUACUGUAUGUGACAAACAGAAGUCUAAGCUACCUGCUAUUUGUUGCUAGUGCUGAUAAUUCCAUCUUCUAAGAAGUCCAGCGUAAGUAACCAUCAUUUUCCUACUUAAAAUUUCUCUGCAUUUUUGGCUGGAUGUGUUUGUUAAACUAUGCAGUUUAGCACUUGUCAAACGGCAAGGGCCAACUCUUAGCUCUGUUUUGAAUGAACUGUCUCUCGGAAAAAGGAGAGAGGGAAUGUUUUGGAGGGCUGUUCCAUAGUGUGCUUCAUAGAGUCCAGUACACAUGUUCACUGCAGUGAGAAAGAAAUACAGUGGCUUGCAGCUAGUUGAAAUUUGUUAUGUGACCAAUUGCUGUGAGGAAACAACCUUAUUAGACUUCAGGUUUCAUCUCAAUUUGUCUUACAGAAGUUUUGUUUUUCUCUAUUCUGAGCUCCUCCUGUAUGAAUGUUGUACUAUUGAAUCCUUACAAAGAAAAGAGGUUUGUUUACUGCAUUGAAAACAAGUAUGAGAUAUAGAAGAAUGGGUAUUUUUCAAUAUUACAUGAUUUUUUUUCUAUGUCUGAUUGGUGUCUUAACCUAAAUAAGGAAUGCGAAGGGAAUUAAUAGUGAGUAUCUGUAGGAAGAGGUGUUUCAGCAGUUGGAUCAUUAUUUUCAUACUUAGGAGACCCAAGUCCAUUCUCUCAUGAGUAUGCCUACAGUGGGCAGGUGGUUUCACCUUUCUGUGCUUCAGCUCCUCGGUUCUGCACUAAGGCUAAUUGCAUUGCCUCAUUACAGCUUGCUGUAGGGGAGCACCAACCUGAUGUAUUUUGAAGGAGAUUGGGUGGGAAUCAUUGCAGCCAUGGUGCUUAGUAUGUAUUUCUUAAAGAAGGCACUGGGCUGUGGCUCUAGCAAAGGCUGUGACACUUAUUCCACACUCCACUCAAUGAACUUUCACUUAACUGCUCAGAGA